GAUGAACGCUGGCGGCGUGCCUAAUACAUGCAAGUCGAGCGAACAGAUGAGGAGCUUGCUCCUCUGACGUUAGCGGCGGACGGGUGAGUAACACGUGGAUAACCUACCUAUAAGACUGGGAUAACUUCGGGAAACCGGAGCUAAUACCGGAUAAUAUAUUGAACCGCAUGGUUCAAUAGUGAAAGACGGUUUUGCUGUCACUUAUAGAUGGAUCCGCGCCGCAUUAGCUAGUUGGUAAGGUAACGGCUUACCAAGGCAACGAUGCGUAGCCGACCUGAGAGGGUGAUCGGCUACACUGGAACUGAGACACGGUCCAGACUCCUACGGGAGGCAGCAGUAGGGAAUCUUCCGCAAUGGGCGAAAGCCUGACGGAGCAACGCCGCGUGAGUGAUGAAGGUCUUCGGAUCGUAAAACUCUGUUAUUAGGGAAGAACAAAUGUGUAAGUAACUAUGCACGUCUUGACGGUACCUAAGCAGAAAGCCACGGCUAACUACGU
rnacentral:rRNA from 1 species